CCCUUAGAUGUCCUGGGCUGCACGCGCGCUACACUGAUGUGUCCAGUAAGCACCUAACCUCUUCCGAAAGGAACGGGUAACCUUUGCAAAGCACAUCGUGAUGGGGAUAGAUUAUUGCAAUUAUUAGUCUUGAACGAGGAAUUCCUAGUAAGCACAAGUCAUCAGCUUGUGUUGAUUACGUCCCUGCCCUUUGUACACACCGCUCGUCGCUCCUACCGAUUGAAUGUUCCGGUGAGCUCUUCGGACUGCGCGGUCUGCAGUUUCUGCGUUCCGUGCGGAAAGUUGCGCAAACCUUAACAUUUAGAGGAAGGAGAAGUCGUAACA
rnacentral:rRNA from 1 species